GGAAAGAAGAGCACUGCACUCGGACUCAUCUUCUUCAACAUCAGCAGAGCCAUCUUUGAUUGUGCGAGAGAUCAGGCCCCCCACUUAGUGUAUUUGACAAGCUGAGUUGGACACUCUGUAUCAGUGAGUGUCAGUUUGUCAAAUACCCCAAGUGAGGUGUCACUAGUCUACAACUCAAGGUCACUCUGGGUUACUCCACGGACUGACCUGCCAACUCCACAGCAUGAGCUACACAUCAAGGAAGCUGAAAACACAGAGGCAAGUGAAGUGAGGCAAGGAAACUUUUGAGUAUCUAGACAAGGAACAAGGUUUUACAGUGGUUAAAAUGGUAAUGGUGAAGACAGACAGAAGCUUGUCACUGUGUCAUCUACACAACUGUGCAACAUUUAGUAAGUCCUGUGCAAAUUACUCUUACACGUUCAGUUUAUUCAACAAGACGGCUUCACAGAGAUGGUAACAUGUUCGUAGGUUAAUGUGGUUAUUAAAAAAAAAAGGCUGAUGCUCUUUUUCAUUCUAGGCUUUUAGGAGGCUCAUAGGACAGACAACAAACAUGUCAGCCAAACAUGCCACAUAUCAUUAUUUUCAGAUUUCCGUCAUGCAAUAUGGCUGUAGAGAUUAAAAUAACUUCAUGAAAAAUGUUGUUCAAAACCCACAGCAAUACAGACAUGAGGUUUGAGUGUCAUGUACAUGUUGCCUGUGAUGCAGAUGAGCAAAAAUAAAAAAAAUCAUGUCUUGACUAUCUUUUUUGUGCAAGAGCAAAUCCAUGUACCGAAAAAAAAAGUCAAUACUUGAUCAGCUUCUGCUUCAACAAAGACUAAAGUGUUAAUUACCUGUUAUGAAGACAGACAUCUCUAAACUGUUUAAGUAUUUUCUUCAUUCAGUGUUUUGCUAAAUUCUUUAGUUCAGCCUUGAUGAAAGUGUCCUCUCUCUGCCAACAUGUGGAACCACAUGUCCUCUCAUUUUCACAGCAAAGCUCAGACUCGGACUUGGUCAACGUGCAGGAAAGAAGAAAACAGCCCAAUAAAAUAUAUGGCGUCCAUGUGUCCUCAGGUGCCCUCUGAAUAUUAAUGUGUGGGGAUUCAAUGUGUGAAUGUAUGAUCUUAUAAGAAUAAUAAAGGUGAAAGAGAUGCA